rnacentral:rRNA from 1 species
AGUGAACGCUGGCGGUAGGCCUAACACAUGCAAGUCGAACGGCAGCACAGUAAGAGCUUGCUCUUACGGGUGGCGAGUGGCGGACGGGUUAGGAAUACAUCGGAAUCUACUUUUUCGUGGGGGAUAACGUAGGGAAACUUACGCUAAUACCGCAUACGACCUACGGGUGAAAGCAGGGGAUCUUCUGACCUUGCGCGAUUGAAUGAGCCGAUGUCGUAUUAGCUGGUUUGCGGGCUAAAUGCCCACCAAGGCGACGAUCCGUAGCUGGUCUGAGAGGAUGAUCAGCAACACUGGAACUAGGACACGGUCCAGAAUACUACGGGAGGCAGCAGUGGGGAAUAUUGGACAAUGGGCGAAAGCCUGAUCCAACCAUACCGCGUGGGUGAAGAAGGCCUUCGGGUUGUGAAGCCCUUUUGUUGGGAAAGAAAAGAAGCAGGUUAAUACCACGCUGUUCUGACGGUACCAAAAGAAUAAGCACCGGCUAACUUCGUG